GACAUUUCGUAAAUAUAUUAAUGUGACAAAAAUUGUUUUAAAUGCAAAUAUGUAGAGAAUCAUGAGUGAAAUUGGACAUUAUUGUGGGGUCAUUUUUAUAUAUUGAAGGUAUUUAACAUAGGUAGCAAAGAGUUUACAUAAUUACUAAAGGCACUUCAACUGCCUGAAAUAGUCACUUGAGUUCCAAGUAGUUAAAACCAACUUCCCGGGCAUUUCAGGUAAUUUUAAGAAAAUUGCUUGAAAGAAGAUUCAACUGCCUGGAAUAGUCACUUGAGUUUCAAGUAGUGGAAUUCAACUUUUUUGUUAGGUGGGAAAUUUACAAGAUUUCCAUUGGUAGCAAUAUAGUAAGGACCCUACUGUUUCUUCCAGAUAAUAUAGGUGGAAACUGAAAUUAAUUCAAAUAACAAUUGCAAGAAAUUAUCUGCAUGUAUAUAGAACGAAACAAGAAUUUUAAGUCUUUCAAGAAAAUAAGGCAUUCAUUUCAGACAACUCCGGUAAUUAUCUGAAAAAAAAAUUAAUAGAAAUUGAAAUAGGAAUAAAAUAAAGAUAUUAAAGGAACAGAAGGAACUAUAUAUACUACCUGAAAUAAAAGAAUUAUGUAGAAUCAGUUGAAGUCAUAAUUAAUUUAUUCAAAGUAUUUGAAAUUUAAAAAAAAUAAGGAGUUCCUAAAAGAAAGAAAUCAUAAAAAUUGAGAAGGCAUAAGGAAGAAAAAGGAGUAGGGAAGAAAAAAAAAUGUAAAGAAAAUUAAUUAAAGAAAUAAAUAAACAAGGAAAAGUUCAAGUG